GAUGAAGAACGUAGCGAAAUGCGAUAAGUAGUGUGAAUUGCAGAAUUCAGUGAAUCAUCGAAUCUUUGAACGCACAUUGCGCCCCUUGGUAUUCCAUGGGGCAUGCCUGUUCGAGCGUCAUUUGUACCUUCAAGCCCCCGGGUUUGGUGUUGGGGAUCGGCUCUGCCCUUCUGGGCGGUGCCGCCCCCGAAAUACAUUGGCGGUCUCGCUGCAGCCUCCAUUGCGUAGUAGCUAACACCUCGCAACUGGAACGCGGCGCGGCCAUGCCGUAAAACCCCAACUUCUGAAUGUUGACCUCGGAUCAGGUAGGAAUACCCGCUGAACUUAAGCAUAUCAAUAAGCGGAGGA
rnacentral:misc_RNA from 1 species